CCUACGGGUGGCAGCAGUGGGGAAUAUUGGACAAUGGGCGAAAGCCUGAUCCAGCCAUGCCGCGUGUGUGAAGAAGGCCUUCGGGUUGUAAAGCACUUUCAGUGGGGAAGAAAGCCUUGGGGCUAAUACCCUCGAGGAAGGACAUCACCCACAGAAGAAGCACCGGCUAACUCCGUGCCAGCAGCCGCGGUAAUACGGAGGGUGCGAGCGUUAAUCGGAAUGACUGGGCGUAAAGCGCGCGUAGGCGGUCUGAUAAGCCGGUUGUGAAAGCCCCGGGCUCAACCUGGGAACGGCAUCCGGAACUGUCAGGCUAGAGUGCAGGAGAGGAAGGUAGAAUUCCCGGUGUAGCGGUGAAAUGCGUAGAGAUCGGGAGGAAUACCAGUGGCGAAGGCGGCCUUCUGGACUGACACUGACGCUGAGGUGCGAAAGCGUGGGUAGCAAACAGGAUUAGAUACCCUAGUAGUC
rnacentral:rRNA from 1 species